rnacentral:lncRNA from 1 species
CUCUAUGUCCCCAACCCUCUUACUUCCUUGCUUGUGAAUGUUGACAUGAUAAUAUUCUUUGAGUUUUGUUCUGUGUAUGAUGGCUUGUCCCAAAUUGUUGUUGCUCUUAUUCCCUUUAUCCUUUCAAAACCGUUCUUUCUAAGAAACUCCUCUAUUAUUUUGCAAACUUAUUUCAAACAUGUUGUUUCAAAAUUGUUUCCAACUCAACUCUUUCAAAUCUAUGUCAAGCACUCUCACAUAUACUCUUAGACUACUAGGUUCUACCCUUUUUUGUGUAAGCCUUGCCUUGGGACCCUUGAGCUCC